CGCCGGCGGCGUGCCUAAUACAUGCAAGUCGAACGGUCUUUUCUAUGGAAGCUUGCUUCCACUGAGAAGAUAGUGGCGAACGGGUGAGUAACACGUGGGUAACCUGCCCAUAAGAGGGGGAUAACAUCCGGAAACGGGUGCUAAUACCGCAUAGUUUUCUUGAUCGCAUGAUUGAGAAAGGAAAGACGGCCUUUGUGCUGCCGCUUAUGGAUGGACCCGCGGCGUAUUAGUUAGUUGGUGAGGUAACGGCUCACCAAGACGAUGAUACGUAGCCGACCUGAGAGGGUGAUCGGCCACAUUGGGACUGAGACACGGCCCAAACUCCUACGGGAGGCAGCAGUAGGGAAUCUUCCGCAAUGGACGAAAGUCUGACGGAGCAACGCCGCGUGAGUGAAGAAGGUUUUCGGAUCGUAAAACUCUGUUGUCAGAGAAGAACAAGUUGGAGAGUAACUGCUCCAGCCUUGACGGUAUCUGACCAGAAAGCCACGGCUAACUACGUGCCAGCAGCCGCGGUAAUACGUAGGUGGCAAGCGUUGUCCGGAUUUAUUGGGCGUAAAGCGAGCGCAGGCGGUUCCUUAAGUCUGAUGUGAAAGCCCACGGCUCAACCGUGGAAGGUCAUUGGAAACUGGGGAACUUGAGUGCAGAAGAGGAGAGUGGAAUUCCAUGUGUAGCGGUGAAAUGCGUAGAUAUAUGGAGGAACACCAGUGGCGAAGGCGACUCUCUGGUCUGUAACUGACGCUGAGGCUCGAAAGCGUGGGGA
rnacentral:rRNA from 1 species